rnacentral:rRNA from 1 species
AUGCCGGAUGCUCCAGUUGAUCGCAUGGUCUUCUGGGAAAGCUUUCGCGGUAUGGGAUGGGGUCGCGUCCUAUCAGCUUGACGGCGGGGUAACGGCCCACCGUGGCUUCGACGGGUAGCCGGCCUGAGAGGGCGACCGGCCACAUUGGGACUGAGAUACGGCCCAGACUCCUACGGGAGGCAGCAGUGGGGAAUAUUGCACAAUGGGCGCAAGCCUGAUGCAGCGACGCCGCGUGAGGGAUGGAGGCCUUCGGGUUGUAAACCUCUUUUAUCGGGGAGCAAGCGAGAGUGAGUUUACCCGUUGAAUAAGCACCGGCUAACUACGUGCCAGCAGCCGCGGUAAUACGUAGGGUGCAAGCGUUAUCCGGAAUUAUUGGGCGUAAAGGGCUCGUAGGCGGUUCGUCGCGUCCGGUGUGAAAGUCCAUCGCUUAACGGUGGAUCCGCGCCGGGUACGGGCGGGCUUGAGUGCGGUAGGGGAGACUGGAAUUCCCGGUGUAACGGUGGAAUGUGUAGAUA